ACGAACGCUGGCGGCGUGCCUAAUACAUGCAAGUAGCACGCUGAAGGAGGAGCUUGCUUCUCUGGAUGAGUUGCGAACGGGUGAGUAACGCGUAGGUAACCUGCCUGGUAGCGGGGGAUAACUAUUGGAAACGAUAGCUAAUACCGCAUAAGAGUAGAUGUCGCAUGACAUUUGCUUAAAAGGUGCAAUUGCAUCACUACCAGAUGGACCUGCGUUGUAUUAGCUAGUUGGUGAGGUAACGGCUCACCAAGGCAACGAUACAUAGCCGACCUGAGAGGGUGAUCGGCCACACUGGGACUGAGACACGGCCCAGACUCCUACGGGAGGCAGCAGUAGGGAAUCUUCGGCAAUGGACGGAAGUCUGACCGAGCAACGCCGCGUGAGUGAAGAAGGUUUUCGGAUCGUAAAGCUCUGUUGUAAGAGAAGAACGAGUGUGAGAGUGGAAAGUUCACACUGUGACGGUAUCUUACCAGAAAGGGACGGCUAACUACGUG
rnacentral:rRNA from 1 species